UUUUUAGCAUAAGUAUGUCUCAAAAUAUUUGGAACAUACUUAUGCUAAAA
rnacentral:pre_miRNA from 1 species